CAGUCGCCGCGGUAAUACGAAGGGGGCUAGCGUUGCUCGGAAUCACUGGGCGUAAAGGGUGCGUAGGCGGGUCUUUAAGUCAGGGGUGAAAUCCUGGAGCUCAACUCCAGAACUGCCUUUGAUACUGAAGAUCUUGAGUUCGGGAGAGGUGAGUGGAACUGCGAGUGUAGAGGUGAAAUUCGUAGAUAUUCGCAAGAACACCAGUGGCGAAGGCGGCUCACUGGCCCGAUACUGACGCUGAGGCACGAAAGCGUGGAGAGCAAACAGGAUUAGAGACCCCGGUAGUCCCUGUCUCUUAUAC
rnacentral:rRNA from 1 species